AUUGAACGCUGGCGGCAUGCCUUACACAUGCAAGUCGAACGGCAGCACGGGAGCAAUCCUGGUGGCGAGUGGCGAACGGGUGAGUAAUAUAUCGGAACGUGCCCGGUCGUGGGGAUAACGUAGCGAAAGCUACGCUAAUACCGCAUACGAUCUACGGAUGAAAGCGGGGGAUCGCAAGACCUCGCGCGAUUGGAGCGGUCGAUAUCAGAUUAGGUAGUUGGUGAGGUAAAGGCUCACCAAGCCGACGAUCUGUAGCUGGUCUGAGAGGACGACCAGCCACACUGGGACUGAGACACGGCCCAGACUCCUACGGGAGGCAGCAGUGGGGAAUUUUGGACAAUGGGCGCAAGCCUGAUCCAGCAAUGCCGCGUGCAGGAUGAAGGCC
rnacentral:rRNA from 1 species